UUGCAGAUGCUUAAAUCAACCUUUUAAAUAAAUUGGUAACUUAGUUAAAAAUAAUAAUAAUCCCCAUGACACCCGGUGUGCUGUGGCUGCAGACAGCAGCCUCCUGGGUAGUGUAUGCAGCCUUUUGCUUGUAUAGGCUGCCCUAAGGGAACCUGGAGACAGCU
rnacentral:snoRNA from 1 species